GGUAGUUUGCAAGAACAAUAGAUGAUAAAAAAGGUAGUGGGAACAGACAAAGGCCAUUGAAAACACUCAGUCUUCCGAUAUCAGAGUUAUCUCCAUUAAGUAUUUAUUUCAUUUUCUUGCUUUUGGCUCAAACUUUUCUCUAUUACCUACUUUGCUUUUUGGUAUCUUUAAAUUUGAAUCUCGAUGUAUCCAAGUUGGUAACUGCAAACUAUUAGCACCACAGCUGUCAUGUUCUUCUUCUUGGGUGAUUCCAAAUGUUUUUCUUCUUUUAGUGACGGCAUUG